UGGGGUAUGGCUCAGUGGCUUAGCACCUACCUGGUAAGCACAAGGCUCUGAGUUUGAUUCCCAGUACCACAA
rnacentral:tRNA from 1 species